CCAGUACUGUUUUCUCGGUUCCAUGUACAUGUUAUCCAUCAGUACCGAUGGUGGAUGAGAGGAAGUAUUCUCUUAAGAUGACGUCAAAGUACAAGGAAUUAAAGGACACAGUUUUGAAGCGAUUACGGCACAACAGAUAACAUGGAGCUUCAAGCGCAUAUUAGAAUCCUAUGGAAUUCGACUAACCGAUCAGAUUCAUUGGAUGAUUUAUAAAGCCUCAAAUAUUAGACUAAGCUUAAUAUAUCAACUUUGUAUAAAAAAAUGCCGGAAUUUUAAAAAUCUGCACAGUGGAUUGAAAGCGAGAGAAAUAGUUAUAUUCUCUGCGUAUUCCAGGAAAGUGGCUUCUAAGUGACGAGUCUGAACUACGUUGAUUUCUUAGUCUGUAGAGGAGAAAACCAUGGCCAUUACUUCUUAAUCUGUCUUCAAAAGAUGAACAGAAAAAGCGAAUGAGAAUUUCAGUUUUUAGAGUAGUAAGAACUUUGGAGAUAUAUCAAUUUAAAUUACUUUACUUAUACCUGAAAGCAUUCUGACGGAAUACUCCGUUUACUCAUGAUGGAACGUCUUGUGAAUCGAAAGAUGCAGAAUCUCUUGCAAUUGAUAUUAGAGCAGCGCAUUCUGCAAAGACUACAUUAGAGGCCAUUUAAUUGAACAACGGCUUAAUACCACUUCUCAUCUGUGCAGUGAAUAAAUACCAUUUUGGCUCCAGCCACAAAUUCUAAAUAUUGGAGAUGUCUGGAUUGGCGGAAAAAAUGAUACUGAAGCGAUAUCGGUAUUCAUAGGUCAGACAAUUUACGAUCAUUAUGGAUGCAUCUUUCUUGGGUAAAAGUGUCACCAUCAGUAAAAAGGCUUUUUCGGUUCCAGAUGCAAGACGUCAACACUCAC